rnacentral:rRNA from 1 species
UCUGGCGGCGUGCCUAUAAUGCAAGUCGAGCGAACAGACGAGGAGCUUGCUCCUCUGACGUUAGCGGCGGACGGGUGAGUAACACGUGGAUAACCUACCUAUAAGACUGGGAUAACUUCGGGAAACCGGAGCUAAUACCGGAUAAUAUAUUGAACCGCAUGGUUCAAUAGUGAAAGACGGUUUUGCUGUCACUUAUAGAUGGAUCCGCGCCGCAUUAGCUAGUUGGUAAGGUAACGGCUUACCAAGGCAACGAUGCGUAGCCGACCUGAGAGGGUGAUCGGCCACACUGGAACUGAGACACGGUCCAGACUCCUACGGGAGGCAGCAGUAGGGAAUCUUCCGCAAUGGGCGAAAGCCUGACGGAGCAACGCCGCGUGAGUGAUGAAGGUCUUCGGAUCGUAAAACUCUGUUAUUAGGGAAGAACAAAUGUGUAAGUAACUAUGCACGUCUUGACGGUACCUAAUCAGAAAGCCACGGCUAACUACGUGCCAGCAGCCGCGGUAAUACGUAGGUGGCAAGCGUUAUCCGGAAUUAUUGGGCGUAAAGCGCGCGUAGGCGGUUUUUUAAGUCUGAUGUGAAAGCCCACGGCUCAACCGUGGAGGGUCAUUGGAAACUGGAAAACUUGAGUGCAGAAGAGGAAAGUGGAAUUCCAUGUGUAGCGGUGAAAUGCGCAGAGAUAUGGAGGAACACCAGUGGCGAAGGCGACUUUCUGGUCUGUAACUGACGCUGAUGUGCGAAAGCGUGGGGAUCAAACAGGAUUAGAUACCCUGGUAGUCCACGCCGUAAACGAUGAGUGCUAAGUGUUAGGGGGUUUCCGCCCCUUAGUGCUGCAGCUAACGCAUUAAGCACUCCGCCUGGGGAGUACGACCGCAAGGUUGAAACUCAAAGGAAUUGACGGGGACCCGCACAAGCGGCUACGCAUCGUU